GCAGACACAUUCCAGCCAACCAGCAGCAGACCCUCCCUCCCAGACCCUCCCUCCCAGACCCUCCCACCUCCUGGACAGCAUCCAUUUUGAAGCUGCAUUCUUAGUGAGCUGUCCAGGAGGUGGGAGGGUCUGGGAGGGAGGGUCUGCUGCUGAUUGGCUGGAAUGUGUCUG